rnacentral:rRNA from 1 species
UAUCCUACGGGGGGCAGCAGUGGGGAAUAUUGGGCAAUGGGCGCAAGCCUGACCCAGCAACGCCGCGUGAAGGAAGAAGGCUUUCGGGUUGUAAACUUCUUUUAUUCGGGACGAAGAAAGUGACGGUACCGAAUGAAUAAGCCACGGCUAACUACGUGCCAGCAGCCGCGGUAAUACGUAGGUGGCAAGCGUUAUCCGGAUUUAUUGGGUGUAAAGGGCGUGUAGGCGGGAAUGCAAGUCAGGUGUGAAAGCUCAGGGCUCAACCCGGGGCCUGCUUUUGAAACUGGAUUUCUUGGGUGCUGGAG